CAAGUCGUUCAACUUCUUUUGUUUGCUUCUUCCUCUGUUCUAACAGUGUCAAUGUCACUGCCAGUUGCUUGGAUAUUUCCACUUCUGUAUUUAUUCUCUCUAUCUCAUUGACGUCGUCUACUUCUUCUUCUCUGACAUCUAUUUCUGUGGAGGGCUCAUAGUGCUUUACCACUUCCUUGGUUUUCCACUUCUUUCGCUUUUCAUCAAGUAUAUGGACAUAGCACACACAUCCAAACACUUUAAUGUGACUAAAGGAUAGUUAGUGUCAUUCCAUGCUUCAAAUGGGGUCUUGCUCUUAAGGGCUCUGGUUGCUGUUCUGUUUUUAAUGUUGGCUGCAGUAUAAACUACUUCGGCGCAAAAUUUUAGAGGCAUGUCUUUAGCUUUAAUCAUGGCUCUUGCCAUCUCCACCAAGAUUUUGUUUCUUUUCUCUACACUCCAUUUUGCUGAGGAGUAUAAGCUGUUGCCAACUGACGUUCAAUACCAUUUUCUUCCAAAAACCUUGUGAACUCUCCAUAUAGAUCCUCUAUCUGAUCUAAUCCUCUUUAUUUUGCAGCCGCUUUGGUUUUCAACAAGGUAUUUGACUUUCUUGAAAGUAGCAAAAAUCCCUGAUUUUGCCUUUAAGAGAAAUAUAUAUACCUACACCAUUCUUGUAGCAUCAUCAAUGAAGAUUGAUUUGGAAACGGAUCACGGCAGUGCUUGCUUAGAAUGCAGCUCUCACAUCUUUCUCUAUGUAUUUGAAGUUUUGGUAGACCAGUUACCAUUUUGAUACAAGAAUCGGUGGUGAGACUUGUAUGAGAUAGAUAUGGCGGCUUCACAAGCUGGCGAUCGCUUCUCUCUUGUGAAGGAAAGAUGGUCGAAGGUGGAAAUCUGACACGAUGGCGGUCGCUUCUCUCGUGUGGGAUCAAAUGAGGGAAAAUGAUGGUGGGGCGAAGUGCACCACGGAGUUGUGAUAAGACUCUGAUACAGCACAAGCUCUAAGCCUUGAUGACUCGCUCAACAAGACAUAAGAACAAAAGUUUAAUAAGUAAAGGAAUCCACCUAACUUAGAUAAACAAACAAAGCCUAAGCUUUAGAGAAAACUCUUUAUAUUACUUUCAAAUUUUGUGGUCUUUACAAUGAAACAAAUGAGCCUUUUUAUAGCUCUUACAUGGUCUAAUCUACAUUAAAAGAAAAUA